UGGGGAAUAUUGCGCAAUGGGGGAAACCCUGACGCAGCCACGCCGCGUGGGUGAUGAAGGCCUUCGGGUUGUAAAGCCCUGUCGGGAGGGACGAAUUCUUGACGGUACCUCCAAAGAAAGCACCGGCUAACUCCGUGCCAGCAGCCGCGGUAAUACGGAGGGUGCGAGCGUUGCUCGGAAUUACUGGGCGUAAAGCGUACGCAGGCCGCUGUGCAAGUCGGGUGUGAAAGCCCGGGGCUCAACCCCGGAAAUGCGCCCGAGACUGCAUGGCUUGAAUGCGGGAGAGGAUAGCGGAAUUCCUGGUGUAGAGGUGAAAUUCGUAGAUAUCAGGAGGAACACCUGUGGCGAAAGCGGCUAUCUGGCCCGACAUUGACGCUCAUGUACGAAAGCGCGGGGAGCAAACAGG
rnacentral:rRNA from 1 species